GACGAACGCUGGCGGCAGGCUUAACACAUGCAAGUCGAACGAGUGGCGGACGGGUGAGUAAUGCUUGGGAAUCUAGCUGAUGGAGGGGGAUAACUAAGGGAAACUGUAGCUAAUACCGCGUACCAUAGGCUGAGCCCAGGUGGGAUUAGUGAGUUGGUGAGGUACCGGCUCACCAAGCCGACGAUCUCUAGCUGGUCUGAAAGGAUGACCAGCCACACUGGGACUGAGACACGGCCCAGACUCCUACGAGAGGCAGCAGUGGGGAAUAUUGCGCAAGGGGGGCAACCGGACGCAUCCAUGCCGCGUGAAUGAAGAAGGCCUUCGGGUUGUAAAGUUCUUUCGGUAGCGAGGCGUUAACUACAGAAGAAGCACCGGCUAACUACGUGCCAGCAGCCGCGGUAAUUC
rnacentral:rRNA from 1 species